rnacentral:misc_RNA from 1 species
GAUGAAGAACGUAGCGAAAUGCGAUAAGUAAUGUGAAUUGCAGAAUUCAGUGAAUCAUCGAAUCUUUGAACGCACAUUGCGCCCUUUAGUAUUCUAGUGGGCAUGCCUGUUCGAGCGUCAUUUCAACCCUUAAGCCUCUGUUGCUUAGCGUUGGGAGCCUACCUACCCGGUAGAUCCUCAAAGUUAGCUGGCAGGGUCGAGGUUCGCCCUAAGCGUAGUAGUUCUUUCUCGCUUCUGCGGCUGCCUAGGCCAUCGCCACAAGCCUUUUAAACUUCAAUGGUUGACCUCGGAUCAGGUAGGAAUACCCGCUGAACUUAAGCAUAUCAAUAAGCGGAGGA